rnacentral:lncRNA from 1 species
CAUGUAUUGAAUAUAUAUGAUUGACAUACUACUAUCAUGAAUUAAAAGAGGGACGAAAGAUACCAAAGGGACAGUCAAACUCAUAAAUCUAAAACAAACUGACAACGCCAUGGCUAAAAAUGAAAAAGACAAACAGAAAAACAAUAGUAAACAUGACACAACAUAGAAAACUAAAGAAUAAACAACACGAACCCCACCAAAAAUUAAUUUACUCUCCUACUUAUAUGACACAAACUAAAAUAUUGCGCGGUUAAAAAACAUGAUACAAUUACAUAUCAUUAGUGGAC